rnacentral:lncRNA from 1 species
ACCGGAUCCAUAGAAAAUGCUUACCACAUGCUAAGUAUCAGCAUUACUAUCUUUUUAGGUCUUGCAUUUUAAAAAUGGCAAGCCUGUCCCCUUUGUGCUUGAUAAGAACCCCUGAUGCUCAUGUGUUUGAACUCAUUCCUGGUCUCCUCUCUCUUCGCCCUGCCUCAGAUCUGACAGUGGAUGCUCCUUGUCCAGGACCAACCUUGUCUCUCUCUACACCUCUGAUAUGCCAGGAGACAAACUGCAUCAUCUGCCUCCAGCUCUUGGACUCCACGCUGGUCCUGGAAGGUAGGACAACAAAGUCACUGUUGGAACACAGGAAGCUGAGUGAGUCCAAAACCAGUCUCAGAUUGACCAUGGAAGAAAUCGUGCUUACUAGAAAAUGGACCAUGGGCCUGGAGUUGGAAAACCAAACAAACAACAGCAACAAAAAAGCUGUACCUUUUUUUUUAGAUUCCACAAAUAAGUAACAUUGUAUAUUUGUCUUUCUCUGUCUGACUUACUUCACCCAGUAUGACAAUCUUGGUCCAUCCAUGGUGUUGCAAAAAGCAUUAUUUUAUUCUUUUUUAUGGCUGAGUAAUAUUCCAUUGUAUAUAUAUGUGCCACAUCUUCUUUAUCUAUUCCUCUGUGGAUGGACACUUAGGUUGCUUCCAUGUUCUAGCUAUUGUAAAUAGUCCUGCAAUGAACAUUGGGGUACAUGUAUCUUUUCCAAUUAUGGUUUUCCUCAUGUAUAUGCCCAGGAGUGAGAUUGCUAGAGGAACCAAAUACAUUUGGUUUGUUUGUUUACCCUUUCUUGCUUCAAGCUGUUGUUUUGUUGCUGGAUAUACAGCCUGAUAAGAUCUUGGUAAAAAUCAGUUGGAUAUUAGAAAAUAUAACCAAGAACACAUCGCAUAUUCCAGUUGGAUGAAAAUUUAUACACAACCGGUGUCAGUUUCCUCUCCUAAAUCAGAAAUCACUUCUGUCCAUUCAAUUCUUUCUCCCCUUGACAUCUGAGUUUCUACUCAGUCCCAGGCAUUAUGAUGGGCAAUGUGUCUAAAGAGCUAAACAACUGAGAACAAAAGAAGUUUAUCAUAUAGAUGCAGAAAGAGGCAGGUUAACAGGUAACCUGUAAAAUCUGGGGAGGUCAAGUUCAAGACACUGAAUUUAGGCUGGACCAUGAAGGUGAUCACAGACUUUCUCAAGUAGGGACAACUGAGAUGGAUCUUGAUGGAUGUGUAGGAGUUUUCCCCUAUCCAGCGAAGGAGGUUUCCCAAGGCAUUCCUCAUGAGGAGAGUCUCUCUCCUUUUCUAGUCAUUAACCAUGUGGGAGCAGUUGUUGGAAAACUUCUGGAACCCAAAUACACCUUCCUGUAACACUUCUCUUAUCUCUGGUUUUGUCUUUUGGAAAAACUCUUCUUUUUACAGAAUUCCAUCAGACAGUUGAAGAUAGUCUUUAUGUCCAUUGUAACUCUCCCCCAUAAAAAUAAACAUCUUGUAAUCACUCCUCA